CUUACCUGGCCUUGACAUGUCUGGAAUCCUGCAGAGAUGUGGGAGUGCCUUCGGGAAUCAGAACACAGGUGCUGCAUGGCUGUCGUCAGCUCGUGUCGUGAGAUGUUGGGUUAAGUCCCGCAACGAGCGCAACCCUUGUCCUUAGUUGCCAGCGAGUAAUGUCGGGAACUCUAAGGAGACUGCCGGUGACAAACCGGAGGAAGGUGGGGAUGACGUCAAGUCCUCAUGGCCCUUACGGCCAGGGCUACACACGUACUACAAUGGUCGGUACAGAGGGUUGCGAUACCGCGAGGUGGAGCCAAUCCCAGAAAGCCGAUCCCAGUCCGGAUCGAAGUCUGCAACUCGACUUCGUGAAGUCGGAAUCGCUAGUAAUCGCGGAUCAGCUAUGCCGCGGUGAAUACGUUCCCGGGCCUUGUACACAC
rnacentral:rRNA from 1 species